CUUUAAAAGUUGGGAAUCUGGCAUUGGAAAAUAAAUCCACUGUAUCAGUAAAAAGGAAACUAGCAACCAAUUUGGGUUAUGCAUCAUUACUUUCAUGGUCUCUCUUUCCCAUUGUAAAAAAUAGACUCGAAUACAGGACUACAAUCCCCACAAGCCUUUGCUCCACUUCCCCAAAAUGCUUUGUAAUCUCAUGGGAAUUCUGAGGUGGGCCGAGAUCGAGGAAGGAUUUAAGCUGGUGGCAAAGGUUUGUGGGGGCUCUCUUUUGGACUUCCAUUUUGGAGCAGACACGUCUCUUCCGUGAUGUGAGGUUAUUUUGUCUAGGCCUCUGGCCUAGGCACAUGUUUCUUACUUGUAUAUUCUUUAAUCUUUAACCUUUAAUAAACCUCUAAAAAAUAUAAUACUCCUUGCAGAGAGAAACUAAUUUCUACCUGCCUCAGUCUCCCCAUAUUACUAAAUUUUAACUGUUAUAGUUUUGGCAACCACGAAGGGAUGAGAACUUCUCAAAUUUUUUUAGCCUAGAUAAUGAUUUUUUUAAAGCCAAAUUUCUCCAAGAUGCUCUUUAGAAAACUAUCUUGAUCAGCUCCUGACUGCGGCCCUCUCCUGCUCCUGCUUCUGCAGCCUUUCACCUGGUGCCCAAGCUCCUGGCCCUGCUUGUCUUUUUUUUUACCCUCCUGCAAGCUGCCACCAUCUGCUUCGGACAGCCACUUCUCCCGGCCCCACCCCGGCUGCCUGCUCCGCUCAGCCCUGCUUGUCUGCGCUCUGGCUCUGGCCCUGGCCCAGCGGAAUUUCUCUCCUGGUACCUGGCCCACCUGAUUCAACCAAGAUUGUAAUCACCUGAUGACCUGCCUGCCCAAUAAACCCAGAUCCUUGUGGAGCAUGGCCAGAUAUUAAGAGGAAAUGGAUCUCAUUUUUGGACAAGAUAUACACACAAGAGCCAUUGCACAGAGCCAAAGAAAGGCCAAUCCAGGAUGGAUUUGUGCACUUCUAGGCCAAUACAAAGGUCUUGAACCUAGUGUAAAGAGUCAGAUGUGCCUCACUUUCCUAAUAAAAUCUUCUGCUCCACUUUCCUAUCCUUAUAUAACUAUUGAAGCUCCGACCACUAUGAGAACUCAGAUAGCUCAAGGGACAGAACAAUCAUUUAAUAUCCACAGAAGGGAUCAUAGUCUGAAGCAAUAAAAGAAAAGAAACAGUUACUCUCUAAGCAGGAUCCUAAGGUAGUGCAUAGAGUUUAAAGAAAUGUGAUCUGUUGCCCUAAAAUGUAAUCUUUUAAAAAAUCCCCACCUGCAGAUAUUCACAUGUACAAGCCACAGUUAGAUAUGAUUUUUUUUCUCCUCUAAUUUUUUUUUGUGACAUUGCUCCCUUCUGGUUCUCCUAUAUAGCCACUUUUUUCUAAUGUGAUCUUAUCCCUAAGUAUGGGUAUGCUCCAGGAGUAUCUUUACUUCUCUUCUCUUUCCUCUGCACAUAUCCAGCCUUGACAAUUUCAUUCAUUCUCAUGAUUUUAGUUGUCACCUCUAUGCAAGUGUUACAGUUAAAAGAGUGGUCGCCUUAAACUGUGACCACAAAAAUAUGGUUUCAAGACAGUGUCUUGAUUUUAUAUUAAAAAUAAAGUGAUCACCAUGGGGAAAAUUCCCAAAUAUGAUAUAUACCCAAAUCAGCUGGGUUUUAUGGAGAUUUUAAUUAAUACAAAUAAAAAAAUUAAGAAAGGGGAGAGAGAGAGUAAGAGGAAAUAAUGAAAAAAGGGCUAGGCCAACCUAGCCCAGCCUAGGCCUAAACCUUAAGAGAGAGAUCAGUCAGUCUUUAAUACACUCACCACAAGAUUUGUCCCAAGCAAGAUUCUAGUGUUCAGAGAAACCCCCCAGUUCAGCUCCUCAGCUCAACUAAGUUCAUCCACUGAGCCUUUCAAUUCAGCUUUGGCAAGCUGACCUCCCCUGAGACCUCUUCUGACCUCCUUUUAAAGAGAAUUUUCUCCUAUGUCAUCUCCCCUAAGUUUUCACAUCUACCAAUCACAGUAGACGUUUUCCAAAGGACUGACCAUUCUUAAUUCACACCUAAGUAGACUAAACUUUUGAGUAAUUCACACCUGAGUAGACUAAAACUUCACACCUCUUUUGUUAAGCUUGUCCCUUGCAAGUUUGCAAGUUGUCUGACCUUCAUAGGUACUUAGCACCUUUUUGUAUUAGAUCUAAAAAUAGACUUAGCUUAAGGGCUUUUACCACAAUAUAAGUAUGAGUUAAGUACUUUUCAUUGUUCAGUAAAGAGUUUACAACUUUAUUUUCCCCUAAAGUAUGCUUAAGUAUGGGUGGAAUAAUGUUAGAGUUCUCACAUUCCUGAUCAAAUACCUUCAUUGUUUUAAAAUGGGGAAUGGUCUUAACCAAGUGUUCUAAGGUAGAGUCCGAGAAUUUUUAAUAUUCACAAGUCUGAGAUAUUUUAAGAUUCACACAAAACAACUCCUAAUCUACCUGUAAUAUUCUAUUUAAGAUUUUUGCAUCUAUGUUCAUUAAUUAAGGAGAUUAGUCUGUAGUUUUCUUUCUGUGUUUUAAGUCUUCCUGGCUUUGAAAUCAAUAUCAUAUUUGUUCAUUAAAGGAAUUUGGUAAAACUUCUUUUUUGUUUAUUUUGUCAAAUAGUUUGUAUUGUAUUAGGAUUAGUUGUUCUUUAAAUGUUUGAAAAAAUUCACUUAUGAAUCCACCUAGCCCUGCUGAUUUUUUCUUAGGGAGUUCCUUGAUGGCUUGUUCAAUUUCUUUUUCUGAGAUGAAAUUGUUUAAGUAUGCUAUUUCCUUUUUUGUUAAUCUAGGCAUUAUAUAUUUUUGUAAAUAUUUGCCCAUUUCACCUAGAUUGUCAUAUUAAUUACCAUAUAAUUGGGGAAAGUAGUUCUUAAUAUUUGUCUUAAUUUCCUCUUCAUUAGAGGUGAGGUUGCCUUUUUCAUUUUUGAUACUGUUAAUUUGAUUCUCUACUUUCUUUUUUAUUAGAUUAACUAGUACUUUUAUCUAAUUUGUUUUUUCAAAGUACCAGCUCCUAGUCUUAUUUAUUAGUUCAAUAGUUAUUUUACUUUCAAUUUUAUCAAUUUCUCCUUUAAUUUUUAGGAUUUCCAACUUAGUUUCUAUCUGGGCAUUUUAAAUUUAUUCUUCUUUCUAAAAUUUUAAGUUUUAAGUCCAAUUCAUUGAUCUCCUCCCUCUCUAUUUUGUUGCUAUAAGUACUCAGAGAUAGAAAUUUCCGCCUGAGUACUGCUUUGCUUAUAUCCCAUAGAUUUUGAUAUGUUGUCUCUUUAUUGCCAUUCUUUUCAACAAAAUUAGUAAUUGUUUCUAUAAUUUGUUUUUUUACCAAGCAAUUUUGAAGAAAUAGAUUAUUUAGUUUCCAAUUAAUUUUAAAUUUGCCUCUCCAUGACCCCUUACAAAUUAUAAUUUUUGUCACAUUAUGAUCUGAAAAUUUUUCAUUUAUUGUUUCUACUUUUCUGCAUUUGUUUGCAAUGUUUUUAUGCCCUAGCUCAUGGUCAGUCUUUGUAUAUGUGCCAUAUGCUGCUGAAAAGAAGGUAUAAUCCUUUUUAUCCCUGUUCAGUUUUCUCUAGAUAUCUAUUAACUUUAAUUUUUAUUUAACAUUUCAUUCGCUUCCCUUAUUUCUUUCUUAUUUAUUUUUGGUUCAAUUUAUCUAGUUCUGACAGGGGGAGGUUAGGGUCCCCCACUAGUAUGGUUUAACUAUCUGUUUUCUCCUUAAGUUCCUUUAGUUUCUCCUUUAGAAAUCUGGAUGUUAUACCAUUUGGUGCAUAAGUGUUUAGUGUUGCUAUUACUUAAUUGUUUAUAAUACCUUUUAGGAAGAUGUAAUUUCCUUCCUUAUCUCUUAAUCCAUUCACUUUUUACUUUAGCUUUGUUUGAUAUCAUUAUUACUACUCCUGCUUUUUUUACUUCAGAUGAUGCAUAAUAAAUUCUGCUCCAGCCUUUUACCUUUAA